ensembl:lncRNA
CAAGAGGUUUCGGGGCGAUGGCGGAAGGUUUGCUGGGACCAGUUUCUGGAACAUUCGGGACUGCGGCACCUUACGGCCGGCCGAGAUUUGGGUCUGCGCAGGCGACGAUGGGUGGUCCGACGGGCUUCAGGACUUGAUGGCGUAACCCCCUUUUUCCCCCACGUACCACAUCCAGCUCAUUGACGGUGGUUAUUUCAUUUAUUCCUCACUGCAACCCUGCAAGGAGUGGCUGCGGUGGCUGCCCGCUUCCUGACGCUAUCGCAUCCCGUGGGAGGGGAGUUGGACACCCUGAAGCCCCUCGUCACCAGUUCCGGGGCUGCAGAGCAGGGAGUGACGACAGCUCAUGAGUCGUCAGCCGACGGCAGCGGGGACCCUGGUGACGGCUGCUUUGUUGUUUUUUUCCUCUUCGGAUGAUGACUCAGUGUGUCGGGAGCCGGGAGAUGGAGCACUCACCGAGUGGCCAGGACGUUCUGUCAACAUGAAAACAGCAAAAACAGCUCGUCGGAGCUCAGAGCUGACCCUGGGCUGGGGUCAUUUUCAGGAAGGGCUUGGCAAAGAAAAGGCGACCGCCACGUAUUGGGUUGGCAGGGGUGAUACCGGGUAACUUAACAGGGCUCUGUAGACCCUUGAAUUUUAGAACCUGAAAAGAAAACGCAGCCGUUUGUGUUACUAGAUGAGCUUGGCAACCAGGAUGGCUUCUUGGGCUCCUCGCACUCGUCCCCGACAAAGAGACAUCUUUCCGGGUCCAGAAAACCCCCUUGGGGAUUUCUCAGUGUGGCUCAUUGCCUUGGAUGGAGGGCAAGUCUCUUUUUGUGGGGGAGCAAGGGUGGGGCCUGGCAGCCCUAGUGCCCGUUGUGGGGAUGUAGUGUCUUGGGGGUCUCCUCUGCCGGCAUCAUGCGAAGAUGGUGGCUCCCGCGUCACCGGCCUCAAGCCGAAGACCAGCUCUCUCGGGCAGCCAUUCUUCAGCCUUCCCUUUCCUCAUCCCAAAUUACAAGCUUUUCUUCUUCUUCACCAUCUUCCUCACUUCCUCCUCAGGUGCCAUGGCGGGCCUUGACCUCCGCGUCUGUGUGUGUGUGUGUGUGUGUGUGGUGUCAUCAUGGCGGCUCGGGGUUCUAGGCUUUUCUCCCGUCUGCAGCAAUGCGCUUUGUGCGCGUGACGCCCCCGUGGCCCCGCCCCGCCGACCAGGCCCCGCCCUGCCGCCAGGCCCCGCCCCGCCGCCAGGCCUGUCCCUGAGACCCAGCGAGGAGACAGGCCCUUCGUUCUUUCGCCGCAGAAUCUCGGCCAAACCACCAUCAUCCCCAGCAUCCGGCUUCCCUUCUCUCCUCCCGCUCUGUCGGCCAGCGUCUGGGGCAGAGGAGCAAACAACUUGUGGGAGGGGAUGAUGGAGGGACAGAUAGCCUGGCCGAGCUCUCUGGUCUCCUCAGCCCGGGUGCCAUUUUUCUCAGCCUCCCACGCUCCUGUGGACGAUGCCUGCUCUGACUUUUGUCGCCG